CAGGAGUAGGAAUGAAAGGAGCUGGGUUCAACUAAGACAAUUGUUUAAACAAUUCUGUAAUUCCUCAUCUGUAAACAAUGGGCAUAGUAGUUAUUAUUCCAUAAUGAAACAAAGUGAUCCUUUGUUAGGGCAUUUGCUUUUUUGUUUUCCUGGAGAAAAUCUUUUUCUUCCUGGAGUCUAUAAUUUUUCGAGGAUAAAGCUAUGUUCCAAAACUCUACCUCUUACUUUUUGAAAUACACUUGAAGCUCUCACACCCAUUGCAGACUCCUCUGUGAAGGCUUGAGAUCCUUUUCACCAAAAAAGACAAACAUGGAGAACGUUUGCAGAACAAUGAGCAGAGGGGACGAUGAGAAUUCUAGAGUCACUGAACACUUUGGUUGAUACUGGGUAGGACCCUGGGCUACUGCAGUAGUUUUCUUAGGGCAUCUUCAAAAACUAAAAGAAAAGGGUACUACUGCUCCAGUUUACACUAGGAGAAACGGAGAAGCCACUGUCCACGGACCACAGCUAUCUCGGGGCAGAAAAGAAACUUGCUUGCCUCUAGAACCUAAAAGGGUUUCUCCCGGAGGGUAAGAGGCAGAAGAGAAAGUUUGCUCGGAAGCCUUCGGUAGCCGGAGGACCUGGGCACCGGAGGACACAGCUGCCGCACUUUCUGGGAAGCAGAGGUUAUUUCCUUGGAACAAAUAAAUUCUCAGAAGUGGAAAUACUGGGUCACAAUUUAUGAACGCUUUAUGGCCCUUGAAACAUGUUGCCAAAUUGCUUCAAAAAGUGUAGUUCCAGAAUACACUGAGGGCUUUGUUAGGCAAAUAUGUAAUGCCUGGAGCUGCAGCAGCCAUAUCAAGAUCAGAAAGCUAGACAAACAUGAGGACAAAAAGCCAAUGCAGUGAAGGUGGCAGGAAAGAGACAGAAAGAACCUGGGUCUUUCAUGUCACCAUGUAAAAGGCUAAAUCAACACCACCAGCCUCUACCUUUUUCAUAUGUGGG